UACGUAGGGACCAAGCGUUGUUCGGAUUUACUGGGCGUAAAGGGCGCGUAGGCGGCUUAACAAGUCACUUGUGAAAUCUCCGGGCUUAACUCGGAAAGGCCAAGUGAAACUGUCAAGCUGGAGUGCAGAAGGGGCAAUCGGAAUUCUUGGUGUAGCGGUGAAAUGCGUAGAUAUCAGGAGGAACACCGAUUGCGAAGGCAGCUCGCUGGGACGUAACUGACGCUGAGACGCGAAAGCGUGGGGAGCAAACAGG
rnacentral:rRNA from 1 species